AGAACUAGAGCAUCUUUUUGACCAUCGGAAGUCACCAUUUUUGAUUCAGAUUUCGUGGCGUAAACAUCGACAUACUUAUCUGAAGUCAUCCGAAAAAGUUUAAACUUUUUAAUUCUAUUAACUUUUGGAAUGUAGUCCUAGUGGUUCCUGGCAUUUGGGGAAGGAAUCAAUUUUAAGUUUUCAUGGGUAUUUUUGUGAUUCUCUAAACGUGGUUUUGGUUGUCCUGUCAUGAAUUUAAUUUUUGAGUAAACCCUCAGCAUUGUGAGGGUUUUACCGCCCAGUUACAUGGCGAGUUAUAU